CCAAUAGCGUAUAUUAAAGUUGUUGCAGUUAAAAAGCUCGUAGUUGAAUUUCGAGACCGGUUUAUUGGUCGUGCUUUUGUACGUACUGGUAUUAUUGGUUUCUCCUUUCUGACGAACUAUAAUGCCAUUAAUUUGGUGUUUUAGGGAAUCAGGACUGUUACUUUGAAAAAAUUAGAGUGUUUAAAGCAGGCUCACGCUUGAAUACAUUAGCAUGGAAUAACGGAAUAGGACGUUUGAUUCUAUUUUGUUGGUUUCUAGGAUCGACGUAAUGAUUAAUAGGGAUAGUUGGGGGCAUUAGUAUUCAAUUGUCAGAGGUGAAAUUCUUGGAUUUAUUGAAGACUAACUACUGCGAAAGCAUUUGCCAAGGAUGUUUUCAUUAAUCAAGAACGAAAGUUAGGGGAUCGAAGACGAUCAGAUACCGUCGUAGUCUUAACCAUAAACUAUGCCGACUAGGGAUCGGAUGAUGUUAAUUUUUUAAUGACUCAUUCGGCGCCUUACA
rnacentral:misc_RNA from 1 species